rnacentral:lncRNA from 1 species
GUAAAAGGCUGUGGUGCUGAUCAACGAAGGAUUUCUCGGAGAAAAUUCCUCCUUUGCGGAAAUGUCCGUAGAAACGCACCUUUUUUUUUUCCUGCCAGGACAAACCGCCGGCGAUAUCCGUUCAUGUGAAAGUGUUUACUAACAUUCUCUGAAGACUCACUGGGUUCUCAGCUCGAGAACGUUCCUGUCACAAGACGUUUAGGAGGCAGGAUGCCGGUACAAUGUAUUUAUGUUCUUGUAAACUGUUGCAUUAACAGUGCACUUCAAGUGGGCACAUUUGUCGUUGGAUUUUUUACCAACUCGAGCUUGGACUUUAGGACGGGGAAAAGAAGUGCUAAAUGUUUUUGAAUAAAACCUUUACUGCACAUGAUAAACAUCCCUUAAAAAUUACCUAGGAGCACCCUAAAUUUUAAAAUGAUCACAAAGACCUGGACAGAUUACAGUAAACCUUCAACAUCGCUAAACACACGUACCAUAAAUCAAAAGAAACACACUGCUAAUGAUCCGUUUUUUGAUGUGGAAAUAUCAUGCUGUUUUUAAGGGAAAUUAUACUUUAUUGCGAUGUUUUAUUUCAAAACAAGAUGUUACACUUUAUUUCCUAUAAUUUUAUUUACAAUAUUUUACACCCGUUAAGCAAAAAUCCCCCUACAUUGCUAUUCUGUUUUUUUUUAAUCAGUUCACUACUGUAGUAUCUUUUUGUUCUCCAUAUAUUUUUGAAAAAUACGCAAAAGAGUUCUGCAGAACUUAUCAGGUUGGACUCUGUGAAGCCUGCAGGCCAGAAUUGCUAAGGUGACAAAAAAGCAAAAAAAAAGUCAACUUCUCCUCUCUCUAGGAAGUCUGUCCCAGGAAGUUUUCAAACCUCUCUUGGCCAGAGAACAUCAGUGGGAGUGAUUGGAGGCCCUGGAUGGGAAGUCCCGCCAAGCUGGAACAGCUGAGCCAUCCAAACAGCAAGGAUGACAACCUUCCCUUUCUCCUAAGAACUCUGCCCCAUUCAAGCUUGGCCCAACACUGUUGCCAGGGGCUGGCUGGAAUUCCAAGCUGGUGAGUCUUAUCCUAUGAGGUGCCAUGAAAGUGGGGCCCACAGAAGGAUGCUGCUCAGCUUCCUGGAUUCAGCUCUCUUCCUAAGGUUAUGUACAAAAAUCUUAUCUCUCACUUUGCCUGAGUUGCAGCUACCUUUGCUGGUGAUCCUGGACCCAAAGUGUGCCAGCCUCUCCUGAUACUCUGUGUGUACCUGAGCAGCUAUUCUGCCAAGACUUCACACAGCUCUGUGCAUGAAACCCAAGGCCUUAGUGAAGUGGGAUCAUGAGGGGAUCUCCUAACUGGAGUGUUAAAAGAUCCUUAGGAGAAACAUUGAGUAUUAUUUCCCAGGGUGUACAUUCGCUCACCACUUCCCUGUGUUAGGGGAGGUUCACUUGGCCACUUGUUACUCAUGUUGUUGUUAUUGUUUAAGUAUUUAUUUAGAUGAUCCAUUAGAUGAUCCAUUAAAUGCCCAAAGUGGGGUUUUGAAGUCGACAAUUAUUAUUGUGUUGGGGUCUAUCUCUCUCGUUAGCUUAAUAAUCUUUUCUUUGUAAAUCUUGAUUCUCCAGCAUUGGGUGCAUGUAAAUUUAAAAUUGUUAUAUCUUUUUGCUGAAUUGAUCCCCUUAUCAUCAUUUAAUGGCCUCACUUUUGUCUCGAAAUCUAUUUUACCUGAUAUAAGUAUAGCUACUGCUCCUCUAUUUUGGUUUCCGUUGGCACAUAUUUGUGUCCUUAUAAGGUGAGGUAAAUUCUCUUGUAGACAGCAUGUAGUUGUCUUCCCUUUUCAUUUAUUCACCUACUCUACAUCUUUUGGUUAAAAAAUUUAGUUUAUUUACAUUCAUUAUUAUAGAUGAGCAGGGACUUACUACUGACGUUUAUUUGUAUUUUUUUAUUAGUCAUUUUUUUCUUCAUGUCGUUUUAUACAAGUGACUUUUUUUUCUGCUUCUAGGGUUUAAUUUCUUUAUUUUUAUAUAUUGUGUAUCAAUUAUAGGUUUUGUAUAUGU